rnacentral:rRNA from 1 species
AACGAACGCUGGCGGCAGGCCUAACACAUGCAAGUCGAACGGGAUCUUCGGAUCUAGUGGCGGACGGGUGAGUAACGCGUGGGAACGUGCCCUUUGGUUCGGAAUAGCCCUGGGAAACUGGGAGUAAUACCGGAUGUGCCCUUCGGGGGAAAGAUUUAUCGCCAAAGGAUCGGCCCGCGUUGGAUUAGGUAGUUGGUGGGGUAAUGGCCUACCAAGCCGACGAUCCAUAGCUGGUUUGAGAGGAUGAUCAGCCACACUGGGACUGAGACACGGCCCAGACUCCUACGGGAGGCAGCAGUGGGGAAUCUUAGACAAUGGGGGAAACCCUGAUCUAGCCAUGCCGCGUGAGCGAUGAAGGCCUUAGGGUUGUAAAGCUCUUUCGUGGGGGAAGAUAAUGACUGUACCCCAAGAAGAAGCCCCGGCUAACUCCG